AUACGGAGGAUCCGAGCGUUAUCCGGAUUUAUUGGGUUUAAAGGGUGCGCAGGCGGCCAUUUAUGUCAGCGGUUAAAUCGUGGGGCUCAACCCCACUCUGCCGUUGAUACUGGGUGGCUUGAUUGCGGUCGAGGUUGGCGGAAUUCGUUGUGUAGCGGUGAAAUGCAUAGAUAUGACGAAGAACACCGAUUGCGUAGGCAGCUGACCAGACCGCAAAUGACGCUCAUGCACGAAAGUGCGGGGAUCGAACAGGAUUAGAUACCCUGGUAGUCCGCACAGUAAACGAUGAAUACUUGUUUUCGGCGAUAUAAUGUCGGAGGCAAAGCGAAAGCGAUAAGUAUUCCACCUGGGGAGUACGCCGGCAACGGUGAAACUCAAAGGAAUUGACGGGG
rnacentral:rRNA from 1 species